rnacentral:rRNA from 1 species
AUUGAACGCUGGCGGCAGGCUUAACACAUGCAAGUCGAACGAGUGGCGGACGGGUGAGUAAUGUCUGGGAAUCUGCCUUAUGGAGGGGGAUAACUACGGGAAACGGUAGCUAAUACCGCGUACCAUAGGAUGUGCCCAGAUGGGAUUAGCUAGUUGGUGGGGUAAUGGCCCACCGAGGCGACGAUCCCUAGCUGGUCUGAGAGGAUGACCAGCCACACCGGAACUGAGACACGGCCCGGACUCCUACGGGAGGCAGCAGUGGGGAAUCUUGGGCAAUGGGCGAAAGCCUGACGGAGCCACGCCGCGUGUGUGAAGAAGGCCUUCGGGUCGUAAAGCACUUUCGUUGGGGAGGCGGUACCUGAACAAGAAGCAACGGCUAACUACGUGCCAGCAGCCGCGGUAAUUC